rnacentral:rRNA from 1 species
GACGAACGCUGGCGGCGUGCUUAACACAUGCAAGUCGAACGAUGAAGCAGAGAAACUCGAACUUCGGUUCAAAUUUCACUUCGGAUUAGUGGCAGACGGGUGAGUAACGCGUGAGCAACCUACCUCUUACAAAGCGAUAGCCUCGGGAAACCGUGAUUAAUACCAUAUGACACAUUCAUAAGGCAUCUUAAGAAUGUUAAAGCUACGGCGGUAAGAGAUGGGCUCGCGUCCCAUUAGCUAGUUGGUGAGGUAACGGCCCACCAAGGCGACGAUGGGUAACCGGCCUGAGAGGGUGAACGGUCACAUUGGAACUGAGACACGGUCCAAACUCCUACGGGAGGCAGCAGUGGGGAAUAUUGCACAAUGGAGGGAACUCUGAUGCAGCGACGCCGCGUGAGCGAUGAAGGAAUUCGUUUCGUAAAGCUCUGUUCUAUGGGAAGAAAAGGACUGUACCAUAGGAGAAAGCCCCGGCUAAAUACGUG